CGAGAUUACCCGCUGAACUUAAGCAUAUCACUAAGCGCAGGAUCAAAAAUAACUAUGAUUGCCUCAGUAGCGGCGAGCGAAGCGGCAAGAGCCCAAGAUGAAAAUUCCUGUCCUUUGGACUUGAAGAAUUGUAAUCUACAGGACGAUCGCUGACAGGCUCCCUGAAGCCCAAGUGUCUUGGAAUAGACUGCCAUGGAGGGUGAAAGCCCCGUAC
rnacentral:rRNA from 1 species